rnacentral:rRNA from 1 species
AUGACGGUCAACAAGGCACAUGGGCAGACUAUCCCGAAUGCAGGUAUAUACUUGCCCGAGCCAGUGUUCUCUCAGGGGCAGUUGUAUGUCAUGCUAUCUAGAUCCACUACUAGAAAGAACAUCAAGAUCCUUACCGCCCCGGCUACAUACAAUGAGAAAAAUGUCUCAGACGAUGGUAGAAGGAAUAGCUCAAUUUACAGCAAAAACAAGAGCUCCAACAAUAAGAAAAAGAUCUCAAACGAUAGCAGCAGGAAUAGCUCAGAUUACCGCAAGAACAAGAGCUCCAACUGUCCUGUUGGUAAUUACGCGAGGAACAUCGUCUAUAGGGAGGUACUUACAUCAUAG